rnacentral:rRNA from 1 species
CAGUCGCCGCGGUAAUACGUAGGUGGCAAGCGUUGCCCGGAAUUAUUGGGCGUAAAGGGCUCGCAGGCGGUUUCUUAAGUCUGAUGUGAAAGCCCCCGGCUCAACCGGGGAGGGUCAUUGGAAACUGGGAAACUUGAGUGCAGAGGAGGAGAGUGGAAUUCCACGUGUAGCGGUGAAAUGCGUAGAGAUGUGGAGGAACACCAGUGGCGAAGGCGACUCUCUGGUCUGUAACUGGCGCUGAGGAGCGAAAGCGUGGGGAGCGAACAGGAUUAGAUACCCCUGUAGUCCCUGUCUCUUAUAC